rnacentral:lncRNA from 15 species
AAAGAUAUGGGUAUCAUUCAUUUCUAAAUCUAUGUAAGAUCAUCUUACUUGUUUAUCGGCCUUUAAACUCUAGAAUUUAUUUCAGCAUUAAAUUUGAUUCUUUAUGAUCUAACUAGUUAUUUCUGCUUUUUGGUAAAUAUAUGUCCACAAUAAAUCUAGGAAUUUGAUUGUAUUUUUACUAACUUAUUGAAAUGCUUAACAUUUCUCACAUGCUUCUGAAUAUUUCUAAUUUAUGUAAAUGCUUGACACAUGGGACAGCAACACUUUAAAUACUGUUAGUACUCCUGCUCCACAGUGUACAACAGCACUUAACUUUUCUCACUUAUUCUCGCUCUUCUUUUUUUUCCAUAGUCAGUGGAGAUCGUUUGUCCAAUGGAUCUGUGCCUGACUUUGUGGAGGGGGAUAUAUUUGUUCCACCUCCUCCCUCUAUGGCACCUCCACCUCCACCAGGGAUUAUCCCUCCUCCAGACUUCAUGGGUGACCUGAACAGUCUAGACUUGACAACCCUUCAGCCUCCUUCCAUGCCCGCUCCAAAACCCACUUCACUGGCACCGUUUAUGCAGGAGGAAGACUUAACCUUCUUAAAACCGCCACCAAUGGCUCCACCAAAGCCUCCAUCUACUAGCUCUAAUGGCUCUGCAUCAUCCGUACCCAUUUCUAGUCCGCCACCUGCCCCAGUUCCUGACCGUCCAAAAUAUGCCCCACCACAACCCCCUUCUGAAAGGCAACACAAGACUUUUAAGACACCACCCCCCAAACCUAUUAGACUGUCCUCUAUCUCCACAAAUGACUCCCCACCACAGACUCCUGCCCCACCUCCACCUGUGCAGACACCCACACUAUCCACCUUCAAUCCCCAAAAUACAGCAAAGCUUUACAAUAAUCCUAAAACCUCGAUUCUGAGCGGAUAUGAUGAUCGCGACACAAGACCCAAGCAGAUGUUAAUCCUGGAAGAUUCUGGUUCUGUCAAAUCAGCCCCGGUGCUUGUCCAGGUCGAUGGGAAAGCCCCUAAAGUGCCUACACCACCGAAACCAGUUCCCAAAGAUGUACAGGAGCUGAAGGAGAACUUACAAAUUACCCAACCCUCUCAAUCACACCUGCCUGAGACAAGCAAGGAGGCUAAAACAGGGACAGUUUCAACACCACCAGAAAUACACAAACCUGUCCAGACUCCACAUCAGACAUCACCACAGCUUCUGAAAGUGAACAAGACUUUGGUGAAUUUAGAGCCCAGCAAGGAUAAACUUGAAGGAUCUCCAAUUUAUAGUCGCAAAUUCAGUCCGUUAUUAGAUCGUAAACUACGCAACCUGAGGAGUAGUGAAACCAACGGGGCACGAGAGGGACCUGUAGCUUCUCCACUGGCUCUUUUAAUGGCGGCUAAACAAAGAGAGAAGCACAGAUCAACUCAACCUCUGUCACGGGAAAACAGUGCCAAGAAGAAUGAGCAGCCUAGUGCAUCCAUUCACCCGAGUGACUCAAGUCCCAAUUCCUUUAUUGUCACUCCAAGGUCCAGCUCAUCCUCUUCUCUAACAUCUCAAGACACAAUACAGGAGAGUCCAAAGUCUGCCAGUCCUUUGGAAGAUACACAAACAAUUCAGACUCCACAGAAAUCCAGCAGUCCUGCGCUGGUCAAGAAUCAGAUGCCAUUUACCAGUCCGGCUCUAGGUAGCAUGGCUGUUUCCUCAAGUCCGAGCAAUCUGGUUGAGCAGAAACAAAGUGCAGAACAAAGUCUCUCAAUGUCUCAAUCCACCCAGCGGCACGAUAAUAAAGAGGAAUUAAGUAUGCCAUUACUUCCUCCACCACCAGAGUUUGAUGAUUUAGGCGACAUUAUGGAGCCCCCUCCUUCUAUCCCCCCACCUGACCCUCCCAUGAAAAAGGCACCCACACCAACUGUGAGCUUUCUCCCUCCAGCUCAAGUUCCAUCUCCACCUCCGAAACCUAAACCCCCAGCAGCUCCAAAACUCCCACCUCCUGACAUUGAUGUCAAACCAAAGCUGCAAGUCCAGACAAAACCCAAGGUGGCCCCACCUCAGCUACCAUCCACUCUUUCACCCAGUCAGGCCACACUCUUGAGCAUCUUACAAAAGAAGAUGUUGGAAAUGGACCACAAAAUGGCCCCAGUGAAGGAGGCAGAAUCCAUUACUGAUGACUGGGGCACCCCCUUGUCCGAUGAAGACAAUAAGGUCCCUGUUGUCCCCAGGGCCACACCACAGAGCAAGAAUUACCCUGUGGUCAACAAAUCAGCAGCUCUGGACAUGCAGGAGCUGGAGAAGAAAGUGGUCAAAAAAUAUCAGGAGACCUCCCCAAUCAAAGUUCCUAGCAGCAAUGGACUGCCAUCAAAACAUCAGUAUGGUAUGACCUUUACAGUUCGGCCCGGAACAAAACAGCCUAUUACUCUUGUCAGUAAAGGGGAUUCUUAA